rnacentral:tRNA from 1 species
GGGCCUAUGGCGCAAUUGGUAGCGCGUAGUAAGUUCCACUGAAUGAAAUAAUUGGUUCCAACAUCCACUAACCAAACACCUACAGCGACUCCAGAUCGUAAGGUUGUCCGAUCGAGCCGGGCUGGGCUCA